rnacentral:rRNA from 1 species
CAGGUGGUCAGGUAGAGAAUACCAAGGCGCUUGAGAGAACUCGGGUGAAGGAACUAGGCAAAAUGGUGCCGUAACUUCGGGAGAAGGCACGCUGAUAUGUAGGUGAAGUGAUUUACUCAUGGAGCUGAAAUCAGUCGAAGAUACCAGCUGGCUGCAACUGUUUAUUAAAAACACAGCACUGUGCAAACACGAAAGUGGACGUAUACGGUGUGACGCCUGCCCGGUGCCGGAAGGUUAAUUGAUGGGGUUAUCCCUCGGGAGAAGCUCUUGAUCGAAGCCCCGGUAAACGGCGGCCGUAACUAUAACGGUCCUAAGGUAGCGAAAUUCCUUGUCGGGUAAGUUCCGACCUGCACGAAUGGCGUAAUGAUGGCCAGGCUGUCUCCACCCGAGACUCAGUGAAAUUGAACUCGCUGUGAAGAUGCAGUGUACCCGCGGCAAGACGGAAAGACCCCGUGAACCUUUACUAUAGCUUGACACUGAACACUGGUCCUUGAUGUGUAGGAUAGGUGGGAGGCUUUGAAGUGUGGACGCCAGUCUGCAUGGAGCCGCCCUUGAAAUACCACCCUUUAAUGGCUGGUGUUCUAACGUGGGCCCGUAAUCCGGGUUGCGGACAGUGUCUGGUGGGUAGUUUGACUGGGGCGGUCUCCUCCUAAAGAGUAACGGAGGAGCACGAAGGUCAGCUAAUCCUGGUCGGACAUCAGGAGGUUAGUGCAAUGGCAUAAGCUGGCUUGACUGCGAGCGUGACGGCGCGAGCAGGUGCGAAAGCAGGUCAUAGUGAUCCGGUGGUUCUGAAUGGAAGGGCCAUCGCUCAACGGAUAAAAGGUACUCCGGGGAUAACAGGCUGAUACCGCCCAAGAGUUCAUAUCGACGGCGGUGUUUGGCACCUCGAUGUCGGCUCAUCACAUCCUGGGGCUGAAGUAGGUCCCAAGGGUAUGGCUGUUCGCCAUUUAAAGUGGUACGCGAGCUGGGUUUAGAACGUCGUGAGACAGUUCGGUCCCUAUCUGCCGUGGGCGCUGGAGAACUGAGGGGGGCUGCUCCUAGUACGAGAGGACCGGAGUGGACGCAUCACUGGUGUUCGGGUUGUCAUGCCAAUGGCACUGCCCGGUAGCUAAAUGCGGAAGAGAUAAGUGCUGAAAGCAUCUAAGCACGAAACUUGCCCC